AACCCGAAGUUUGUAUCCGGGAAAUGAUACAUACCUCCCUGUUGGACUAGGCCGGGCCCUUGUGCCCGGUCUUUUUU
rfam:Sulfitobacter sp. CB2047 contig_1, whole genome shotgun sequence.